rnacentral:tRNA from 1 species
AGACCCAUGGUGUAAUGGUAACACAGCAGAUUUUGGUUCUGUCGUUCUAGGUUCGAGUCCUAGUGGGUCUA